UUGAAAUGAUGACUUGAGAUUACCGCCCCAGUCUGAUGUGUAGUGACUGACUGGUACCCCUCUGAUCUCCU
ensembl:snoRNA SNORD31 Small nucleolar RNA SNORD31